AUUGUACUCUCUUCAUUCAGAAAUACUUAUCAUCAAAAUGAAUAAAAAAGAAUGUAUGUAGAUGCAUUUUAGUUCUAGAUACAUUCAUUUUUGUUCAUUUUGAUGGCAAGUAUUUUUGGACAAAGGUAGAAAAAG
rfam:Triticum urartu cultivar G1812 contig667167, whole genome shotgun sequence.